rnacentral:rRNA from 1 species
UGCAAGUCGAAACGGGCCAUCGGUGGUUAGUGGCAGACGGGUGAGUAACACGUGGGAACGUACCUUUCGGUUCGGAAUAAUCCAGGGAAACUUGGACUAAUACCGGAUACGCCCUUCAGGGGAAAGAUUUAUCGCCGAUAGAUCGGCCCGCGUCUGAUUAGCUAGUUGGUGAGGUAAUGGCUCACCAAGGCGACGAUCAGUAGCUGGUCUGAGAGGAUGAUCAGCCACAUUGGGACUGAGACACGGCCCAAACUCCUACGGGAGGCAGCAGUGGGGAAUAUUGCGCAAUGGGGGAAACCCUGACGCAGCGACGCCGCGUGGAUGAUGAAGGCCCUUGGGUUGUAAAAUCCUGUUCUGGGGGAAGAAAGCUUAAGAGUCCAAUAAACUUUUAAGCCUGACGGUACCCCAAGAGAAAGCUCCGGCUAAUUAUGUGCCAGCAGCCGCGGUAAUACAUAAGGAGCAAGCGUUAUCCGGAAUUAUUGGGCGUAAAGAGCUCGUAGGCGGUCUUAAAAGUCAGGUGUGAAAUUAUCAGGCUCAACCUGAUAAGGUCAUCUGAAACUUUAAGACUUGAGGUUAGAAGAGGAAAGUGGAAUUCCCGGUGUAGCGGUGAAAUGCGUAGAUAUCGGGAGGAACACCAGUGGCGAAGGCGGCUUUCUGGUCUAUCUCUGACGCUGAGGAGCGAAAGCUAGGGGAGCAAACGGGAGUUAGAUACCCCGUAGUCCUAGCUGUAAACGAUGGAUACUAGGUGUGGGAGGACGACCCCUUCUGUGCCGCAGCUAACGCAUUAAUUCCCGCCUGGGGAGUACGGUUCGCAAGGCUGAAAUCUCACAAGAUGAAGUUGGACGG